rnacentral:rRNA from 1 species
GUCCACGCCGUAAACGAUGAUUGCUAGUUGUCGGGCUGCAUGCAGUUCGGUGACGCAGCUAACGCAUUAAGCAAUCCGCCUGGGGAGUACGGUCGCAAGAUUAAAAACUCAAAGGAAUUGACGGGGGCCCGCACAAGCGGUGGAGCAUGUGGUUUAAUUCGAAGCAACGCGCAGAACCUUACCACCUUUUGACAUGCCUGGACCGCCAGAGAGAUCUGGCUUUCUCUUCGGAGACUAGGACACAGGUGCUGCAUGGCUGUCGU